rnacentral:lncRNA from 1 species
GGAGCAUGUAGUUUGGGUUUGAGAGCCUAACCAGUGCUACCUCCCCCUGACACCUGCACUUUGAUUGAAACCUAUACAAUUUUAGGUCUUCUCCAUUGGAUUGUAUCUUGUAACACAAGCCUUUUGGAAAAUGGAUUAAGCAGACCAGAAAGAACUCUCCCACAGAGACAGACAAAUCAAAAAGGAAGAGAGGAGGAGGCCAAGGCAAAGAUACCCAGGUUAUUCAUUGAUCUCUAAUUAAUUAAGUAUCCAAUGGGUAAUCAAUGAAUAAGAAAUGAGGAAACAGACCAAGAAUGAUUAAGAAAUCUCUUCACAUGCAGCCUUAAAGGGUAGGGGAUUGAAUGGCCCACAACCUUCCCUAGCUUUUUGCUCUCUUAAUCAUCACCAUACCUGGGGUAUGGUUCUCCCAUCUGAGAUAGGCAAUCAGUGGCCUAUGGAGAGUCCCUCCUUCAUGAGAGCAUUUUCCUAGUACCAUUUCUCAUUGGAGGUGACCUACUAGUACUACUUGCAGUCAAUGCUGAUUUUUUUUCUUUUUUGCUUUCAGAAAUGGUUAACAACCAUACAUUAAUUUUAGAAAGACUGAAACCUAGAUGAAUAUGUCUGGAGAAGAACAAACUCUGGGGAAUUAUAUUAGUCUAUUUGGCAAUGAACCUCAAGUGGACCUUUCCUGCUAUUGCCAACCAUAAUACAUUUCCCUAGUCAAUUUACUCUUUUGCUCUCCUAGACGACUAUUUCGCAUCAUCUUCUCUUUCUUCAAACUCCAACAUUUCCUAUCCCAGACUCACUCUCAGAUGAUUUUGUGACUUGGUAUUUCAUUGAGAAAAAUAGAAGCACUUAGAACAGGUUUUCAGAAUCUCCUAUUAUAUCAUGUACUCACCUACUGACCCAUUAUAUUCUACCUUCUUUUUGUUACUGUGGAUACACUGUCCCUGCUUCUAGCAGAGGUCCUCUCCUUGUACACUAGAGCCUCUCCCUUAUUUGACAUUACUCCAAAAAUUCUUCACUCUUUCCCAUGUUAUUUUUUCUUCCUUUACCAGAGCUUUCCCAUACUCAGACAUUUCUUCCAUCCUAAACACAUAACAAAGCAAAACCCCUGUCUCUGUGUACUAAUUCCCUCUAUGUACUUCCCUGUCUCUCUUCUGCUUAUAGCUAUACUCCUUGGUAGUGUUAUCUAUAUUCCCUGUUUUCAUUUCUCUCUUCCCAUUCUUUCAUGAACCCAUUCCAAUGACUCUUGCUCUCUGUACCUCCAUUGAGACUGCAUUUAUCACAAGUAUUAAUGACCCCCUUGAUGCAAGUAAUUGGAUUUUCUGUUCUCAUCCUUUUAACAGCAUUUGAACUUGGCUCUCAGGAUUCCAUGUUCUACUUCUCUGAUUGUUCUUUCUCAAAUGUUUUUGCUUAUUUCCCCCCUCAUCUUCCUGGGUCCUAAAUGUUGGAGCUUCACAGGGCUCAAUCCAUGCUAUAACUCAUGCUCAUGACUCCUAUUUUUAUUUCUGUGGCUCAGACUUCUUAUUGAAAAGGUCUCUUAACUGGUCUUUGUGAUUUGUCUCUUGUUUCUCAUUUCAUCACCAGAUUAUUUUCUGCAUGGAAGCCAUGUGAAAACUUAAGUGAGCCUGGAUAUGGUGGCAUGUGCCUGUAAUCCCAGUUACUCGGAAGGCUGGGGCUAGAGGAUCACAAGUUUGAGGCCAGCCAUGACAACUUGAUGAGAUCCUCACUCAAAAUAAAAAUAUAAAAAGGGCUGGGGAUAUAGCUCAGUGGUAGAGCACCUCUGGGUUCCACCCAGUACAAAACAAACAAAGAAACAAACAAACUUAAGAGAUGUAAGUCAUUCUUGCUCAAACAUUCCCAUGGUUUUCCAUUUCUCUCAGAAUAAUACACAAAGCCCUCUAUCCAAUUCAUGACCUAUAUGACCUGGUUCCCUGCUACUUCUUUGCUUUCAUCACUAUUGUUCCUUCCCUUGCUCACUCCUCUCCAGUCACAUAGGACACUUUGCUGGCACCCUAACCUUUACCUUAACUUCUUUGCAUUUAUUAUUCCCUCUGCUCAGGCCACUCUUCUCCCAGAUGAGCAAGGAAGGCCCAUCCUUGACCAUCCAAUUUAAAAAGCCACCAUUUCUCUUUACAUUCCUUAUUUCUACUCAAUACAUAACAUGAUCUAACUCAUUAUACAUUUACUCAUUUUUUCUUACUAAUAUUUUCUGCCUACUCCUCCUAAAACUGAAGCUGCUUGAGGUAUGAAAAGAGGGAUUUUUGUCUGAUCCUCAUUGUGCUAUCUUCAGUACAUAGCAGAUACUUAAUGUAUCUGUGUUUUAUAAAUGAACUAAAGGCUUAAAACCUCAAGACUUUAAAACCUUAGAAUCUGUUCUGCUUAUUCUCAAAACUUAUGUCCAGUUAGGUUAAGCAAUGUAGUUCACUAAAGAUUCUGCAAUGAGAUUAAACAUCAAAGUGAGGAGACAACAGCUUAGAGAUAUACUGAAUUGGAAUGAAAAUCUUCCAUUUGGAAGAUUCCAGGAAAAAUUAAAAGCACAAGGAAAAGUCUACAGAAAUUAGAAUUAUACAUCAAAUUCUCUUGUUUCUUUAAUGUUUUCAACAACCAAAACAUUAGAGUCAUAUGACCUAUGAACUUAAACUUGACUAGGAAUUCCACUCCUGAUCAAGAUGGAGUAAAGGGAUUCAGAUUUAUCCUCCUGCCUGAAAAAAAAAAAAACUGAAAAACAAACAAAAUGUAUGAGUCAGUGGUUUUCAUGACACUGGAAAUCAGGCAUCAAAUGCAAGUUUUCCUAAGAGGUGGCAAAUAAGUGAGGUUGGUAUAUGAGUUCCCUGACUCACUGCCUUGAGACAGUUCCCAGAUGGUGCCAAGAGAGAGAGCACAGCCAGAUCCUAGCCAACUCCUAAGUUGAGGAAAUGUUUAGAGUCUUGGGAGACAAACAUGGCAGGGCAGUGGAGAGGAGAGAAUGCCCUAAAGAUCUGCAAAGGGGACAACUUGAAUAUUCAGUAGAUCAGCACAUACACAUGAGGAAAAUAAUGAAGGCCAGGAAAAGAACCACUCAAAAAGAUUAGGAGUCACAGUGCUUGCUGUUCAUACAGGGCUAUAAUGAUGCCUAUUCCCAACCAGCCAGAUUAGAAAGGCUCACAAUUGACAGGGGAUGGGGUAAAGUACUUAGAAGGGUCUUGCCUCAGUAAUGGGGAAGAAUUAGCCCUAGACUAAACACACUCUGGACCUGUCCAACAAAUCAUAAAAGUAAGACCCAAAGGGAUGAAACUGUUUCCAAAUAACAGUGUCCUAGAAGAAAGUUCAAGAAUAUUUAUAGGAAUACAAAAAUAUACAGUACCCAACAAGGUAAUAUUCACAAUGUCUGGCGUCUAAUCAAAAAUUACCAGGUGUGCAAAGCAGCAGGAAAAUACAACCCAUAAUGAGGAAAAAAGAAAAUCCAUCAAUCAAAACCAACCCAGAACUGACACUACAAGUAAUGUUCAAAGAUUUCCUUCAGGCAGAAGGCAAAAUGAUACCAGAUGGAAAUAUGGGUCUACAUAUACAAGUGAAGAGCACCAGAAAGGUAACUAAAUGGGGAAAUAUAUGAGACAUUUUUCUUUCUAAUUAUUUAAAACUCUAAAAGAUAAUUGAAGGUUUAAAUGAAAUAACAAUGUACAAUGGGAUAUGUAACAUAUGUAGAAAUAAAAGGUAUGAUAAAAAACACAAAGGCCAGGAAGGGAUAAAUGAAAACUCAAUUGG